GACGAACGCUGGCGGCGUGCUUAACACAUGCAAGUCGAGCGGUAAGGCCCUUUCGGGGGUACACGAGCGGCGAACGGGUGAGUAACACGUGGGUGACCUGCCCUCAGCUCUGGGAUAAGCCUGGGAAACCGGGUCUAAUACCGGAUAUGACUCCAUGACGCAUGUUGUGGGUGGAAAGCCUUGUGCGGCUGAGGAUGGGCCCGCGGCCUAUCAGCUUGUUGGUGGGGUGAUGGCCUACCAAGGCGACGACGGGUAGCCGGCCCGAGAGGGCGACCGGCCACACUGGGACUGAGACACGGCCCAGACUCCUACGGGAGGCAGCAGUGGGGAAUCUUGCGCAAUGGGCGAAAGCCUGACGCAGCGACGCCGCGUGAGGGAUGACGGCCU
rnacentral:rRNA from 1 species